rnacentral:rRNA from 1 species
UACGUAGGGGGCAAGCGUUGUCCGGAUUUAUUGGGCGUAAAGAGCUCGUAGGUGGUUCGGUAAGUCGGAUGUGAAAUCUCCAGGCUCAACCUGGAGGGGUCAUUCGAUACUGCCGUGACUAGAGUUCGGUAGGGGAGUGUGGAAUUCCAGGUGUAGCGGUGAAAUGCGUAGAUAUCUGGAGGAAUACCGGUGGCGAAGGCGGCAUCCUGGACCGACAUUGACGCUGAUGAGCGAAAGCUAGGGGAGCAAACGGG